UACGAAGGCUUCAAGCGUUAUCCGGAUUUAUUGGGCGUAAAGGGCGCGUAGGGGGUUCGGCGGGUUUUCGGUAAAAUGCCGGGGCUUAACUUCGGAUAUGCCGGGAAAACUACCAAACUUGAGGAUGUUAGAGGUGAAUGGAACGCACGGUGUAGGGGUGAAAUCCGUUGAUAUCGUGCGGAACACCAAAGGCGAAAGCAAUUCACUGGGACAUUCCUGACCCUGAGGCGCGAAAGCGUGGGGAGCAAAAAGG
rnacentral:rRNA from 1 species